rnacentral:rRNA from 1 species
UUAAUAUUUAUUUAUUAAUAUUUUUUGAAAAUUUAAUUAUUUAUAAUAAAAGUAAUUUUUUAAAUAAGAUUUUUAGUAUUGUAUAAAGAAAAAAUAAUAUAAAUUAUAGUUUAUUAGUAUUGUAAAAGAAUAUUGAAAUAAUUUGAAAAAUUUUUAUUUAAAAAGAAAAAUUAAUUUUUUGUACCUUGUGUAUCAGGGUUUAUUAAUUAAAUAAUUUUUAUAAAUUUUUCUCGAUUUUAAGAGAUUUAAUUUAAUAUUUUAGUUACUGUAGCAUAAGUAUUAAUAAUAUUAUAUUAGAAAUGAAACGUUAAUCGUUCUUAAAAAUAUCUAGUUAUUUAAGAAAUAAAUUUAAUUUAUUUAUAAUUAAUUAAUUAAUUAAUUAAAUUUAAUUAGUUAAAUUUUUUAUAAAAAUAUUUUAAGGGAUGAGCUUUAAAAUAAAUUUUUAUAAUAAUUAUAAUUUUUUAAAAAAAUUGUAAGCUUAUAAAUAGCUAUCAUUAAAAAUUAUGUUAUAAUUUAUUUUUAUAAUUAUAUUAUUUAAUUUUUAUUUAAAUUUUUUAUUAAAUUAUUUAUUAAAAUUAAAAAAAUAAAAAAAUUAUGAUAAAAUUAGUAAAUUAAAUAUGUAUAUAAAAAUUAUUUUUGGGAGGUUUUUAUAAUGAAUUCGGCAAAAUUUUAUACUCACCUGUUUAUCAAAAACAUGUCUUUUUAUUUUUAUUUAUAAAAAGUCUAACCUGCCCACUGAUUUUUUAAGGGCCGCGGUAUUUUGACCGUGCAAAGGUAGCAUAAUCAUUAGUCUUUUAAUUGAAGGCUUGUAUGAAUGGUUGAAUGAGGUAUAAGCUGUAUCAUAAAAAUUUAUAAUUGAAUUUUAUUUUUUAAUUAAAAAGUUAAAAUAAAAUUAAAAGACGAGAAGACCCUAUAAAGCUUUACAUUUAUUAUCUAUAAUUUAUAAAGAAUUUUUAAAAUUUUAUUUUUUUAUUUGUUUUGUUGGGGUGACAUUAAGAUUUAUUAAACUCUUAUAAAUUUUAUACAAAAAUUUUUGUUUAAUUGAUCCAAUUAUUUUGAUUAAAAAUUUAAGUUACUUUAGGGAUAACAGCGUAAUUUUUUUAGAGAGUUCUUAUCGAUAAAAAAGAUUGCGACCUCGAUGUUGGACUAAGAAUUAUUUUAGGUGUAGAAGUUUAAAAUUUGGGUCUGUUCGACCUUUUAAUUCUUACAUGAUCUGAGUUCAGACCGGCGUGAGCCAGGUUGGUUUCUAUCUUUAAUUAAUUAAAAUAUUUUAGUACGAAAGGACCAAAUAUUUAAAAAAAUUUUUAAUAUAAGAAUUAAACUAAUAAAAAUAAAAUAUUUAAUUAAAUUAGUAA